UACGGAGGGUGCGAGCGUUGUCCGGAAUCACUGGGCGUAAAGGGCGCGUAGGCGGCCUGAUAAGUAGGGGGUGAAAUCCUGCGGCUUAACCGCAGGGCUGCCUUCUAAACUGUCAGGCUUGAGCACAGUAGAGGCAGGUGGAAUUCCCGGUGUAGCGGUGGAAUGCGUAGAGAUCGGGAAGAACAUCAGUGGCGAAGGCGGCCUGCUGGGCUGUUGCUGACGCUGAGGCGCGACAGCGUGGGGAGCAAGCAGG
rnacentral:rRNA from 1 species